rnacentral:rRNA from 1 species
AUGCUUAGUCAGAAGGAGAAGAUAAUCUACUGCGGGUGGCUUGAUAGGUUUAGGGGGAUUUUUGAUCCAUGUUUUGUUGCAAGUGCACAGCUUAAUUAUAAUUGUGUUUCUGUGCACCCGGUGGAUCAUAUGAAGCUAAUUUUUCUUGCAUUUCCAUUGCAGGAAGAGCUUUGCAGGGAUGCUGGUGAAACUAACUGGGAUUACAUUAGCACUAUGAUGCACCCUGAUGUGAUGGGAUGUAGAAUUGAUUGGGUGAAGAAGUUCAUGUUCCUGGUGAAUUUCAUGGAUUGUUGGUCAUUGUACAUUCUGGAUACGGAGAAGAAAAUUAUGAUAGUCCAUGAAAUGACUGAGACCGAUCCGGCGUGUGAGAUGAAAAUCAAACAUGAGGCUUUAGCCAAGAAGUUCCAACAUAGGUUCUGCACCUUAUUCAACGACAUGUUCGGUGCUGGCUUGGUUGAGACCCGUGGAUUGUCGUUUGUGUAUCCGUUGGUGGCUCAACAUGGGCAAUGCAGCAGUGGAGUGUAUAUCUUGCACUACUUCGUCGAGUUCAUCAGACUACCUACAAUCAACACUAACCCAGGCUCAGAUCGAGCACUUGCGCAAGAAGUUUGCCUACGAAAUAGUGACCAUGAAGGGAAACAAUGGGGAUAUUCCGGAGCUCUUAUACGACAUAAUCAUUGA